rnacentral:lncRNA from 1 species
GUGCAUUAGUGUGAGGGAAGCACUAAAAAGAGGAGGAGUGAAAGAGCAAAAGGAGGUGAGCUGCUGUGUAUCCGCAUGCUAAUGCAAACCACAAAACACAGGAAAUAAAAAAAAUAACAGAAGUUUGCUUUUCUUUCACCGCCGUGUCUGUGGAUGCUGUUUUUGGUCUUUCUUUCUGUUUGUCAUUUCUAUUUUUAUUUUGCGUUACAGCCUGUAAUGUCAUCAUAGUCUCCUCAGGUUCACUUUCUAUUGCUUGGUCCAUUCCAACAGGCUGUGAAGAGCUGACGGACUAAAGGACACUUGCGUUUGUAAGGACAGUCUGAGGUCGACUGCUGGACCCGUGUUAGCUACAGGCUGUGACCUUUGACCCAAGAGGUGCUCCAAACGUUGAAGGCCCUGUACUGAUUUUACAGAGAUUAUGGGAAACCAAAUAUGUUGCGGUAAAUGGAAACAUGGCAGUAAAAAUACUGAUGGGAAAGAUGACACCAAAGUGGAUAAUGAAAAGGUUGAAGAUGUUCUUUAUGCAACCAUUGAGCACAGCAGCAAAACGCAGGAAACUAUGAUGAACCUUCACAAAGAUGAUGACUGUGACUACGCCAUAGUUAAAAUCCCUGCAGAAGAACAAAAUAAAAACUCAAUCCAAGAGGACAAAGAGGACUGCUCGGAAGAUUAUGUGUUAAUGGGCUGAACCUUUUUUUGUGUACCUUAUAUUUUGUGUACCUAUAUUUUGCAAUAUUAUGUGACAGUUUGUGGUUUAAUUUCAAAUUCUGACAAUACACCUGCAACAACAAUGCGUACUCAUGUACAGAUGUUUCUACUCACACAUACACACACACGCACAUCAUUACACGAUCAACUGUUAUAUACUCAAAUCAUAUAUACAACAUGCAAAUCACACAUCACUUUUUUACUCACAAAUCAAAUCACUUUUACACUAAUCACAUAAAUCACUAUACAGUAACACUAGUGUGAAAUUUAUGUAUACAAAUUAUACCAAAACUACAGUGGCAUACAGCGUAUGCCAUUUUGGAAAUCGAUGCUACUGCUUACAAAGGUCGUCAAUCGUCCAUAUACAGCCAACUCAAGCCCUCCUGCGUCCCCCGACUCAACAGCCAUGUCUGCACGUACGCUGCACCAGCC